GUGCCGUGCGGUGAGCAUAGAGCGAACUAUUCUUUCGCCUUUUACUAAAGAAUACCGUGUGCUCGCCGUCCAGACUGGCAUACGCUUAUUUUUGGAGCUUUAAUUCUUUCAUUGGAAU
rfam:Gossypium raimondii Chr11_contig_1312, whole genome shotgun sequence.